rnacentral:sRNA from 1 species
GCCGGGGGCAGUGGCGUACACCUAUAAUCCCAGCAACUUGCAAGGCUGAGGCAGGAGGAUCGUGAGUUCAAAGCCAGCCUCAGCAACUUAGUGAGGUAUUGAGCAACUUAGCAAGACCCUGUCUCAA